UACGGAGGGUGCGAGCGUUGUUCGGAAUUACUGGGCGUAAAGCGCGUGCAGGCGGUUCGGUAAGUCAGAUGUGAAAGCCCUGGGCUCAACCCAGGAAGUGCAUUUGAUACUGUCGAGCUAGAGUAUGGGAGAGGAGAGUGGAAUUCCCAGUGUAGAGGUGAAAUUCGUAGAUAUUGGGAGGAACACCCGUGGCGAAGGCGACUCUCUGGACCAAUACUGACGCUGAGGGACGAAAGCUAGGGGAGCGAAUGGG
rnacentral:rRNA from 1 species